AGUUUAUGUCUGGAGAAAUUAACUCCCCACUAUUUCUGGCCUACCUGGAUAUGGGCAGCACAUGCUCUUCAGGCAGAGGAAGUCCAGAGUCAAAGAGACACAAAUGCUUGAGUUUCAACAAUGUCCUUGGAGAGGGCCAGAAAAGGGCAAGAGGAAUUGGAAGCCUCACGGUAUCUGACAAGGCUUGUUCAUUAUCACAGGUGAGAUGCACCCAGGGAUUUGUCAGAACUACAGAUUGAUGGCUGCAUCCCAGGGAAAGCCAUAAAAUCUGGGUUAGCUGAUUAAUGCAACCUUAUUUGUUCCCACAGGCUGAUAAGAACUGGGCAAACUCGAGCUGCAGAUGGAACAUUCUGAUAGAUAUGGACAAAUCCUUUCAUUUCUUUUCCACAAUCAAGUUUAGGAUAGACAUAUACUGCCUGGUCCAUAGUAGUUACUUAUACUAGAUAUCCAUUGAAUGAAUUAACUUUUCUCAUAUUUGACACACAUCAGCAGUGAGCAAGAACUGAACUGAUCCCUGAAAAAUUUCUAGUCCCCUUGAGGCUUGAAGAAUCAGCCCAGAGUUUGAAACAAUUUAAG